rnacentral:rRNA from 1 species
UACGUAGGGUGCGAGCGUUUAAUCGGAAUUACUGGGCGUAAAGCGUGCGUAGGCGGUUCGCUGUGUCCGAUGUGAAAGCCCCGGGCUUAACCUGGGAAUGGCAUUGGAAACUGGCGGGCUUGAGUGCGGCAGAGGGGGGUGGAAUUCCGCGUGUAGCAGUGAAAUGCGUAGAGAUGUGGAGGAACACCGAUGGCGAAGGCAGCCCCCUGGGCUAACACUGACGCCUCAUGCACGAAAGCGUGGGGAGCAACAGG